CCUACGGGCGGCAGCAGUGGGGAAUAUUGCACAAUGGGGGAAACCCUGAUGCAGCGACGCCGCGUGAGUGAAGAAGUAAUUCGUUAUGUAAAGCUCUAUCAGCAGGGAAGAAAAUGACGGUACCUGAGUAAGAAGCCCCGGCUAACUACGUGCCAGCAGCCGCGGUAAGACGUAGGGGGCAAGCGUUAUCCGGAUUUACUGGGUGUAAAGGGAGCGUAGACGGCAGUGCAAGUCUGGAGUGAAAGGCGGGGGCUCAACCCCCGGACUGCUCUGGAAACUGUACGGCUGGAGUGCAGGAGAGGUAAGUGGAAUUCCUAGUGUAGCGGUGAAAUGCGUAGAUAUUAGGAGGAACACCAGUGGCGAAGGCGGCUUACUGGACUGUAACUGACGUUGAGGCUCGAAAGCGUGGGGAGCAAACAGGAUUAGAUACCCCUGUAGUC
rnacentral:rRNA from 1 species